CCCCCCCCCCGCACCCCGCGGGCCUCGCCUGCCCCACCGCGGCCCAGCCCGCCGCCUCGGCAGCACCCCGGGGCCCAGCUGAGCUCCUCACGGCACCCCCGUGGCCUCCGGGGUCCCCUCGGCGCCCCGCGGCCGUGAGGGCCCACCCCCCCCGAUGCCCCGUGGCGUGCCCUGCCAGCACCCCGUGGUGGUCUCCUCAGUCCCCCGCGGCCCCCGCCGGCACUCCCUUGCCCCGGCGGCCCCCUCAGCGGCCCGUCUCGGUGCCCGCGGCACCCCAAGGGCCCUGUCGGUGCCCCGCGGCCCUUUUCGGCGCCUGUCCAGGCCCUGGCAGCACCUGCUGCCCCACAGCCACAGGGCUGCUGGCCUCGGGGGCUGCCCAGAGGUCAUCCUGCCCGGCAGAGCGGGCUCAGCCCUGUGCGGCUGGCUGGCCGCCGGUCGCUGCCCGCCUUAGCAAGGCGCGUUGGGAGUGUGCCGGCUCCUCCGCAGCACUCGUGAGCUGCCCGCAGACACGGGCAGCGUCAGCCGAUCCAGCGGGACUGCCCGGGCCUGCAGGCCGGAGCGUGGCGGCUCGCGCAGGUGCCGUGUUUCAGGUUUUGUCGGGCAUCUCUUGCGUUCUCAGCAUCGCAAUAGUAACAGCUUAUGUUUGUGACUACAGCGUGGUCCUUUCUCUGCCUGGAGACAGAGUCAAGCCACGGUGACAGACUGGGAAAAGUCUCAUGCUUCAACAUGACCGUAAAGGAAGGAGGAGCACCCCUGCACCGUUGAGAUGUGCACCCCCACGCAGCCCUCCCUGAAAAGUGUAAUGUUCAUCCUUACCUGUUCAGCAUGGUUUUGGAUAGUAUAACAUCCUGUAACACUCAGGGUGUGUCGCUGACUGCAUGAAGCAUUAAACACAACUGCCGUUCAGGAAAAGGAAAAAAACAUUUUAGAGAAUGAAGAGAAAAUGUUAUAAAGCAUUUAAAAAUAUAAAUAACAGCAUGUGAGGAAAUCUUUCUGAAGGAACAGGAUGCGCCUGCACUGAAAUACCAGGCCGACGUUUGUGAGCAUAUGACUGACGAAUGGUACAGUACGUUCACUUGCCGUCCGGAGACUCGUCAGAGUGACAAGUUGGAGCUGUAGAAGAUAGAGAUGACUCAUGAGUGGAGCUUUAUGUAAAUGAGGAACCUCUUCUGUUGCGUCCUGUUGUACCAAUGAGGCCAUGUAAAGUUCACAAAAAAAAAAAAAGCGGUAAGGAAAGCAAAGUGAUUGCUGGUUGAUGUGACACAUCCCACCGGUGGACCUGGCAUGUGAACUAAACCUGAGCCAGACAGCGAUGAAAAAGAGAGGAAAAAAAACCUUGAAUUAUUAAAUUGAUAAGAGCCCAAACUGCGAAAUUCAGCCCUUGGCUCACAUUUCAUGUUUUUGAAAUUCUGGGUGUUCAAGUGAGGGGCUGUGUUCAAGUAUAACGAUCUUAUUUUUGCUUGUUUAAAAGAAGUCCCUUCUUUUAUUUAGUUAUUAAAUUCUAAUUUGUUUUCUCGGAAGCCU